rnacentral:rRNA from 1 species
GACGUAGGGGCGAGCGUUGUCCGGAAUUACUAGGCGUAAAGGGCAGGCAGGCGGAUCCAUAAGUUUAUCGUUUAAGGCGUCGGCUUAACCGGCGUAGGGCGGUAGAUACUGUGGAUCUGGAAUGCGGUUGGGGAAGACAGAAUUCCUGGUGUAGCGGUGGAAUGCGCAGAGAUCAGGAGGAAUACCGAAGGCGAAGGCAGUCUUCCAAGCCGUUAUUGACGCUCAACUGCGAAGGUGUGGGUAUCAAACAGGAUUAGAUACCCUGGUAGUCCCUGA